AGCUUCCUAGACUAGGGCUAAAUUCACAGAAAAAUGUGCUGUUACAAUAUGUGCCUUGCAAAGAUAUUGCUGCCUAGCAAAAUCCCUCCAUAGCACCAUGGGAUGAGGGUACCAUGCACACCUGCAGAGAGCAGGAGGAAAGCUGGGCAUGUCUGGAUUUAUUCCCACAUGUUGACUCACAACUAUGCUACUCAAAGCCAAAACCACUCCUAGUAACACAGUCACCAGCAGCAGCUGCCAACCAGCCAGAGCAGAUAACAGCAAAGACAAACUUUCCGUCUGCUUUAACUUGAAACUUGAAUCUUGGUGGAAGAGGGAUUUGAGCUGUAGGAAGUAGUAACUGGAGACAUAUUUAGGGACCUCUCGUCAAUGAUCAAUAAAUCAAUGGCUUUAUAAACAGUGGAAGUUCUUGCAUCUGGAAAGCUCUUUAUAGCUACUCUCUUCAGUGCCAAAAGUGAGGAAUAGCCACACUAGAUUAGACAUAAAGAAUCAUCCAUGCCAGGAACUUGUUUCUGACAGAGUUUGGUCAGAUGCCUCAGAGGAAGGAUCUGCAGUCAGACGUAAGGGCACAGCUCACCCUCUAGCAUGAAGAUAAU